rnacentral:rRNA from 1 species
GCCCCCCUGACGGUACCGUGAGAAUAAGGAUCGGCUAACUCCGUGCCAGCAGCCGCGGUAAUACGGAGGAUCCGAGCGUUAUCCGGAAUCAUUGGGUUUAAAGGGUCCGUAGGCGGGCCGUUAAGUCAGGGGUGAAAGUCUGCGGCUCAACCGUAGGACUGCCCUUGAUACUGGUGGCCUUGAGUCAUGGUGAAGUGGCCGGAAUAUGUGGUGUAGCGGUGAAAUGCAUAGAUAUCACAUAGAACACCGAUUGCGAAGGCAGGCCACUAACCAUCGACUGACGCUGAUGGACGAAAGCGUGGGUAGCGAACAGGAUUAGAUACCCUGGUAGUCCACGCCGUAAACGAUGGACACUAGCUGUCGGGGCGCAGGCCUCGGCGGCCAAGCGAAAGUGAUAAGUGUCCCACCUGGGGAGUACGGCCGCAAGGCUGAAACUCAAAGGAAUUGACGGGGGCCCGCACAAGCGGUGGAGCAUGUGGUUUAAUUCGAUGAUACGCGAGGAACCUUACCAGGGCUUGAACGCAUUCUGACAGGGCCGGAGACGGCCUUUCCUUCGGGCAGAUUGCGAGGUGCUGCAUGGUUGUCGUCAGCUCGUGCCGUGAGGUGUCAGGUUAAGUCCUAUAACGAGCGCAACCCCUGCCGUUAGUUGCCAGCAUGUAAAGAUGGGGACUCUAACGGGACUGCCGGUGCAAACCGCGAGGAA